rnacentral:lncRNA from 1 species
CACAUUUUCUCUCUCAAUUUUUGAAUAUAUGUGAGAUCUGAGUUCGUUUUUUUGCUCUUCAAGAUGGAUCUUAGCAUUAUCAAGAUAGAUUUUCAAGAAAAACACUAGAAGAGUGUAAACAAACCUCGAAAAUGUGGGUUAUCUCCAUUUUUUGCUCUUAUUUUUGCUUCGAGUUCUUAUGGUUUUGUUUGAUCUGAGUUUUUCUCUCUCGAUUUCUUUGAAUGGAUGAUCGAUUUAGGUUCGUUUUGACGGAUCUUUGCAUGAAGAAACACAAAUUUCGGAAAGGUAAGUGAGCUCUCUUUUAACCUCGUGUUCUUCGCGUUCUUGUGGAUUUCAUUGUUCUAGAUUUUUUUAUGUUUUUCAUUAUGUUCUUUGUUAAAUUUUUAUGGGUUUUUUGUGUCUGAUACAAGCGUUUUGUUCACGUCCCCGGGACGAACAUAAAUCGUGGUGGUACGUUUGUUUCACUGCCUCAUACGAAUGUUUUGUUCACAUCACCUAGAAGAAUGCAUGACGUGGUAAUUCAUUUGUUUUCACUUGCCGCUACGGACAUUGUGUUCACGACCCAUUGGGAUGAACGUAGGCGUUGGUGAUACGUUUUUUCACUGUCUCAUACGAACGUAUAGAUAUUUGUGAGUUUGUUUAUAUAUAUCUUAUGGUUCUUCGUGUUCUUCAUGUCUCUUGUGUUCUUGAUGAAUUCACAAGAAAUUAUUGAUAAAACACGAACAUAUAGAUUGUUCAUACUUUUAUAUGUGUUAUAUAUGUUUAUAGAUACGAAUGUAUGAUUAUAUUAAUAAGUUCGUAUGUUUCGCUCAUACGAACCUACGAACUCAUUAAAAUGUUCGUGUGUUUGAGUUCUUCAUCCCCUUUAUAUUCUUGAAGAACUCCUACAUUUGUACCGAUAAAACUUACAAACCUAAUGAGUUUAUAUCUAACAAGGUUUUAUGUUUCUUUCCAUGUUGCGUGAGUACCCAAUAAAGACGACGUGUUGCGUUUAGAGAAUUUUAAAUGGUUG